UACGUAGGGGGCUAGCGUUGUCCGGAUUUAUUGGGCGUAAAGAGCGUGUAGGCGGCCAAGUAGGUCCGGUGUGAAAACUCGAGGCUUAACCUCGAGAUGUCAUCGGAAACCAUUUGGCUAGAGUCCGGAAGAGGAAAGUGGAAUUCCUGGUGUAGCGGUGAAAUGCGUAGAUAUCAGGAGGAACACCUGUGGUGUAGACGGCUUUCUGGACCAUAGCUGACGCUGAGACACGAAAGCGUGGGUAGCAAACAGG
rnacentral:rRNA from 1 species